CGCUCCGGCACGUGGGCGCGGCGUGCACCCGGCGCAGCUGCGCGCCUCGUGGACGCUCUGUCCCCUUCCCCCUCUCCGCCCCGUGGCCUGUUUUCGUUCUGCUGGCCGGGGUUCCCCCCCCCCCCUCAGGUCUGGGAGCGCGGCGCGCUUCCAGCGCGCCAGAGGAAAUAGGUCGGCAGGUGGCUGAGCGAUCCGGUCGGGCGGGGCUGGGACGCUGGUGCACGCAGCGGAGGGGGAAGGGCAUACGGGGACACGUUAAAAGAAAGUCAGAACGCGGGAGGUUGCUAAAGAGCACGCAGUGUUUUUAUCUUUGGGGAGUACAUAGUUCUAAGUGCCCGACGCUGCUUUUCCCCGCUCUCAGCAUCGUGGACGUGAUGUUCUGUGCAACCUCAGUAAACAGCCGGCACAGGUGCUGCGCGAUGACGCCUUACUGAGGGCCACAGUGGUCCCGGGACACAGCAGCCACCUCCUGGGUGCAAGCUGUCUCAGCCCCUGGUUUGGGGCCCAGGCUCUGACCCCAAGCUGGGGGCACGCUCCCCUCCCCACUGGUCCGGGCCCCAUGGCCAGAAUGAAUUGGGACCUUGGCUGUAACGGACUCUUCCUCAGGAGGGCUUGGAGUUAACUUGCAGAGUGACUCAGCUGGUGAAGGGUCAGGAAACCAAGUCCUAGGAGAGGUGCUUGAAGAACUGGGGAUGUUUAGCUCAGACCAGACGGGCCCUGAGGGCCUGUGAGCCUGUCUGCAAGUAUUUGAAAGACUCAUGUGAUCAGAUUUGACUGGUCUCGUGCUGCCCUAGGGGACAGAACAGAGCUGUUUACAGGAGGUGAAUUUCAGGUCAAUUACAGAGACAGGGCAGGAACGAAUGUUGGGUUCUCCCCGGGAACCAGGUACAGCUAGGUGUUUGCAUGUAUCAGUAAGAAAAUAGCAGAGCCACGAUUGGAAUUUCGAUCUGCUAGGACUGCAAAGCUGCUCUCUGCCUUUCGUGAUGCAUUUGUUUAAUGGAAUGGGUUACUUUGGGCGUAGUGCCAAAGAGUUUCUGCAUCGCUGGAACCCAGUGGACUGGAGGAUUCGUUCAGCUGUGUUUAGCCGUGUCACUGAUUCUCUACUUGGGUUGAAGAGGGAGGUUGCCCCGGGCCAGACGAGGAUGCCAGAGGGAGGAGGCCACCUAUCUCCCAGCAAGUGAAAAUUUCCAGCAGGGUACAUCUCUUACCCAUUGUGCCUGUGAGUGCUCUCCGCCUGGUUAAAGCAAUAAUCUUGACUUCGAGUUUAACAAAUGUGAUCACAGUAUCCACCUGUCAUCCAACGUCCUUACUGCCUCCUAGCCCUUCCUUUUUUCAAAUCUGAUACCCCUUUCCCUUAUGCAGCCCUUCUGCCUAGGCCAGACUAAAAGUGGGACCAGGGCAGUAAGCACCAAGGAGUAGAUGAGUAGAUGCGCGAGUAACCUGGGCUCAUUUCGGCCCUCUAGGCAGUGCCAGGUAUGGUGUCUGGAAAGGUCAGGAGGGAAGGACCUGGGCUGCUCGGAUUCGAGCUGUGGCCCUCGGGGUCUGAUACUGCUGACCUCGAGCCUGUAGGGCAGAUGCAUGCAGGAGGGAACUUUCUCUGAAGUUCGGGAGUCAUUUUGUGAAUUAAUAGUUUCACAAGAGGUCUUUAGGAAUCUCCUUUUGUCUCGUGUGUGCAGGUAUUGAAUUGUCCAAAACAAACCCAUAAUAGCAUCCCUGGAAGGAAGGUAGGAGUAUGGAAUGGGUAUAAAGAGGCAAUAUCUGGUUUUUCUUGGCUCUCCAGCAGACCAGGUUACAGUUUCUUAUCAAAACCCAGCCAGAAAAUACCAAACUGAGCCUUCUUCUCCUGGAGGAAUUGGCUGGAAGCAGAGUGGUCUCCUCUCUGCCCUGGACAUAAUUUUCAGAGAUCUAGAAGGUGUGUACCUUCCUUUCAGUAAGUCUCUGGUUAUUCCUUCCUAAUCUCCUGGGUCUUAACGUGUGUCCUCUGCUUCCGGGGUAUUAAGGUCGAGGAGAUCUCCCAGGUAGCCAGUCCAGCCCAGCUAAGCAGUGCCUACAUAUAAGAUUAAGAUCGAAGCAGUGAUGCAGAGAAGGUGAAAUAUUUGUGUCUGUCUGCCUGCAAGUACUCUCCUGCGUUCUCUCUCCUCUCUCAGAUCCUUCCUUAACGAUGAUUCUUUAAGGGAUCGUAGCUCAGUUUUCGUUUCAACUGAUCUCAAAGAUCUUUAACUCAAGGGAUGGCAUCCUAAUGGUGGGCUUUAAGGCUUAAACUUAGGGAGAGGGUAGGAGCAAAAGUUCAGAUGCAUUGUUCUUUCCCUGGCCUUUCGCUGUCCCCACCCCCACAUUGCCCCCCCCCCCCCCAGCACAGCUCCCUGGUCACCACCACCCUGACCCCGCCAUCUUUGUAUUCAUGAAUAAGGGGCAGACAUGGAACCCCUCAGGCUCUUGCUGCAGCAGGGAGGGAUAGCAAGAAUGAGAAGUUGUCUCUGGGCUCUGCACGUCAGACUUCCUGGGCUCAGACGCCAGCCAGGUAGGAGCUGUGUGACCUUGGAGAAGUUCCUUCACCUCUCUGUGCCUCAGUGUCCUCACCUGUCAACGGCGCGGGGUGGUUGUGAGGAUUAGGCCCCAACCAUGCCUAAUGCUGGCAUAUGCUUGGUGCUCCAGGCGCCGCGGCUGUGUGUUCUUGACCGGAAGGAGUCCUCAGUCUCGCAGUGACCGCUCCGUGGUUGCUGUCAGCACCGCUUCCGUGUGAGCUUAAAAGGGCUGGAGGACUCCAGGAUGGGUGGUCGGCACAGCAGGUGCCCCUGCCCCAUGUGCUAACUGGUCCUCAAACCAGGCAGUCUGCAUGGCCUUGACUCCCACCCAGGACAGCCCUUCCCAAAGUGGUCCUUAGCGGGACACCUCUCCUUCCUGCCCCCACAUUUCUCUACUAGGCUGGUCGCCCUCUCAUACUCUUGCCACGAGGUAGCUGGUUGGGUGGCCACGUGCCUGGGGAGCAGAACUUUUUCCAUUCUUUCUCAUUCUUCUACCCGUGGGAUUGUGAUGGGGUCUCUGGUGGCGACGAGCAGAGCUGGAUCUCAAUUUUAGAGAAUGGAGGAAGAAGGCGGCUCCAAGGUGGGCGGAGUCAGUGCGGUUGGUUAGAAGGGGUAGGAGGCGGGGCGUCAGCAGACCCUGAGCAGAACCGUCUUCCGUCUUCCCCUGCGGCUUUUGAUGUUGUCGCUCUUGGGCCUUCGUAUCUGUGCCUUAGGCUGCCUUGGAGGUGAACUUGCCCCUGCCGUCUGCUGGCGUGGGGACGCCCGAGGGGCCGGGAGAAACGGGAUAGUUUGCUGUAGUCCAGACAAAAGCUUGCUAGUGUGCAGAGCCUUUGAAAAUACUCGGGAACAAUUUGGUACCCUCUGCGUGUUACGCCGCGGGGUGAUAUCUCAGCCGCUGAGCUCUUGCGUACGAAAUUGGCCACAAGGCUGAGGGAGGUUCAGGGGAGGGUUGGUUAUCGUUAUUUAAUGGAUGUGAAGUUCCUCAAGCCCCUCCCAGCGCCUUGGGGAAAGGACGUUGAGCUGUCGAUCUUGCUCCCCGGAAAGACUUCCUAGUCUCUAUUUGUAGGAACCUUAAAUUAGUCACAUUUGGGGAAUUUUCUUUUUUGCGUUGAUUUUCCUGGACUUGUGUUGUGGUGGUUUUGAAGGGUGGGGUUGGGGGUUGUGUGCCCUGGGGGGCCCAUCCUCUGGUUCUCUAAUGAGGAGGCCAUGGUUUUGGUUUCAAGCAGACGAGUCACAGUUACCAGAGCUCCAGAAAUGGAUGCUUAUCCCAGGACUGUGGUGGUGGCAUGCCUAGAAGCAAUUUAAAAACCACUGUAGCUCUUGACUAUCACCUUAUCUUGAGCGACUUCUUGGUCGUUUGGUGAUCUAGAAAUGAGAAAGAACACUAAGUAUUUUAACAUAAAAAGAGAAUCCCCAGAAUCUCCCAGAUUCUGCCCUGCUCCCCUCGGCCCCUCCUUUAUGUUUUUUUCUUAGUCUUCCCGCAAGUGAAGUGCAGGAGAUCUCCAUUUAAAUGGGACUAGAAACUCACAGCCACAAAAACUCCUGGGACUGUUGAUGAUGCCACAUGGGAAGAUUAGAACAAAAGUGGGGUGUGGGGGGCAUCGCGAGAUAGAAGGAGCGUAAGGAGGUGGUGGCCUUGAAGCUGGGUGGGUGCGGGGACAGAGGAGUAAGAACUUUCUGAAAAGAGGUUACUGGUACCAGUUCCAUUAAUCCAGGAGUCGGGACAGACAGGGCAUACCCCAUGUCCUUCUGUGGCCCCCAAAAGAGUACUUUUACAGCUCCCUUUUCUGUUUAUUUUAGCCCAUCCUUUUACACAUAGAAUUUUGGCUUCAGUUUUGUGAUCUAUACAGUAUAACAGCACAGCAGCACGUGUAUAUAACUUACAACUAAAAACUGCCUUUUUGAGAGCUAAUAGUUUGUGGUCAAAGAAAACCGGGCGGGGAAACAGCCUGUGCUUCUCAAAUGUGGACGCGCAGGAUGGUUGACGAUGUUGCUAACAUGCACACUUGGAUUCCCUGGUUCUGGGCUGGAGCCCUGCAUUCUGCGGUUGGAACUGACCCAGGAGGCAUGAGAUCGAUGUUUUUCUUUCCUCUUUUUGCCGCAGUUUCGCACUUGGCGUCUUAGACGCGCAGGGAAACCCGGCGGCCCCCAGGGGGUCGGGGGCAGAUGCUCUGGCUUUUCCUUUCCUGGAACGCCAGGGCCUUGCUCUUGACGCUGCGAGGAAGUCCCGUGCACCGCGGAGCAACUUGCCCGCAUCCGUUCCCAUAAGGGACGUGUCAUUGUCACCUGUCACGUGGUGUCAGUUUGCUUCUUCCAGACACCACCUGGAUCCCACUUCACAGAAAGGGAAGGUGCUGGGUGCAGCAGAGAAAAGCUGAUGUCUGUGAAGUGUGGAGAACAGGUGCGCUCACCACACAGGCAGCUGUUGCCUCUCGCUGUUCCGUACCUGGCGGACGUCAGUGCCUUCCUUGGCUUUCCUUGCCCUCAUUCGUGGCACUGGUGACACGGGUAAUACGGCACCUGCUGCUUCUGAUGUUAGCCAACAUCUGCCGAGCGCAUUUCAACACUGCUGCUUUAACGUGGCCGUUCUGCGGGGCCACUCUUCUGUCACCAACUUGCAGGUGAGGAAACGGCCCUGAGUGGCCGAGUCACGUAUCUGAGAUCACAGGGCUUGUAAGUAGUAAGACAGGGCAUACUCCUCCGACUGCGUGCCCAGUGUUCUCUCUGCUUGAACCAAAUCUGCCCAUGUCCUGGGAGCCAGUGAGAGUCCAGAGGCCUGGGUGUUUGAGGACCUAAGUUCUCAUUCGCGCAUUCAUCGCGCAAGGCCAUGUACCUGGUACUCAGCGUUCAGGAUUCGGAGAUGAACAAAGCAGUCGGUGGCCUGAAGGAGGGGGAUGGAGAAGCAAAGAUGCAUUUACCAGACUGCUGAGUGCCAUACCGGGGUCGGGUCACUGCGCGUGGGAGGGUCUGCUGGCCCACGGAAGGGGCGGCAGGGAAGGUUGACUGGCCGAAGGGUCUCUGAGGGGUGACCAAGAGUAGCAAGAGAAAGACGGGGAGGAAGCUGCCAGCAGGGAAAUCAGUAAGCCGACAGCAGGAAGUUUUCCUAGAUCCGACCCAAAUAGAGAUGAUGGUAAUUGAUACGUUUGAGACUCAAUAAAGAUAAUCCUCGUGACGUGCUCAUUAGUUGCCAUGUCUUCUUGCCAGACCAGCUGGUGUCAUCACGGUCAAGUGUCCCUCUUGAACCCCACAAAAAUUGUUUCUUUUGAAAUUGACUUUGCUUACUCCCUUUUCGGUUGAUCAGCGUUUGUGUGGUGGGUCUUACUGUUAACUGGCUACAUCUUUAUGUUUCAAGUGGAUUUCUUAGAGUUGGGCUUGCCUUUUCUUUUCACCCAACGUGAUUGUGGCUUUGCAUUAGCGUUUAGACCAUUUACCCUCUGAGCCAAGAGCCAAAAGGAAGCAGAUGGGAGGUGAGAAGGGUGGUUCUCCCAGCCUGUUCUGAGCCAGAGGCUGGAUGUGGGUUUGGCCUGCUUGCUCUAAAGGUUUCCCCAGUGGGAGACCCCAGAGUCAGCGGCCUUCUGGGUGUGAGAGCUCAGGUUUGGGGGCGCUAGUUUGAGAAAGGAGGGGCCGGUAGACGCAGCCAGUUUAGAAACCACGCUCCCUGCCCUCAUGCCCACAUCCUGCCUUGGAAAGCAUGCAGCUUUUCCCCUCGAAUCCCCUUCUGGUCUGAGAAAGCUCAAUGGCUUCAUGAUGACAUCUUACGAUGGCGAAGAGCUGAUCGGUUUGCAAAAGGGGGUUACUUAUGUAGGGCACACGAGCUCCGGGUAAAUCUGACGGUGCUCUGGGCUGUGGCGCGCAGCCCAGACACGGCCCGGGGAGAGUCCCUUUGAAAACAGGUUUUCUGACUCCUUACCUCAAGCCUACAAUGUGACAGCCAGGGUAAUGUGACACGUCCUGGAGCAAAAGGGAUUGGCCCUGGGUGUGGGAAAGGACCUCCGCCUCCGUGUCUACACCAUGCAAAGGAAAGGUCAUCCUCCAGGUAAACAUCCAGGCGCCCCGUGGAUGCACCCUGUCAGGGCUCAGUCAUCUUGCAGUCCAGACACUAAGUUCUCAGGUCUCUAGAGAGACCCAGUGGGCAGUGGGCAUGGGCUUCUUCUGGGUUAGGAGGGAGCCACAAGAGGUGUGAUUUCCAGCACCUUAAGUUGGAGGUCAUGAGCGGGGGUCUGCGGACCAGGGACACUGGGAGGGUGAUGGGUCCCCUCGCUAGGGGUGGUUUUCCAAGGGCACGGUCGGAGUCUUCAGGGUCACCCUGGUGGACGUGGGGAAAAGGAUAGACAUGUCCAUCGAGGCCCUGAGGACUGGAGCGAUGUGCAGGUUGGCCCGAGGCCAGACAACUCGACAGAGAAGGGGGAGCAGAAGUAGGGCCUGCACCUCUGCCUGGCACGCGGGGGCCCCUGUGCCCUGUCCCUCCUGACACAGGGCCUCUCCCACGAUCCUGUGUCUUCGCCUGGUAAGCCUCGUUUGGGCUGUUAUCCAUCGGCCAUCACGUGCCACCGCCGUUCGGGUCUUCCCAGAGCCCCUCACUCACGGCCUGGAUGCUCCCGGGUUCCCCCCGCCCCCGGACGCCCCCUUCUCUCUCGCCCCCGAUCCCCCACCGCAACCCUCCCCUCGCCCGCUUCAGAGCUCACGAACCCCUCCCCUGCCUCGUGGCAGGAUCGAGCCUUGUCUGGGCCCGUCCACCCGGCCCUGCCGCACCUGAGAACAGAAGCCGUGCCAUCGCUGUCCUCGCUUGGGUCCGCGUCCCCGCGGGCCGGUGGCCCUGGAGAGGCAGAGGUGGCGGUCUUGCUGUGCUCGGGGGCCGGGCCGGGUGGACGGAGAGCUCGCUGAGAAGGCCGCCGGUGUUGCUGGUUGUGUGUGUUUUUCUACGCGAACUGCAGAUGGCUGGACACGGGGAAGGGUGUUCAAGCUUGCGGGUGAGAACACACACGGCAGAUGCGUGUGCGCCCCAGGAGCCAACAAGACGCCAGCGUUUGCCGCAGCGCGGAGAUGGCAGCUGGCGGCCGCGGCCGGGAGGGAUGCUAAGGGAUGCGCGGGACGGGUAGGAAUUAGGAGGAGAAGGGGUUUCUGGAGGAAUGCUCGAGAACGGCAGAAACGUACGGGAGGAGGGAUUUUGCGGGAAGAAGCAGGUCAGGUGAACAGAGCAGAGUGGAGGUAGGGGUGAGGGGAGAGAGGUUCUCAGGAACUCCUCCCCACUCCCGGGGUGGUGGGGAGCCCUGGAGGAAGCCAGGAGCCCGUGUUGGUUUCUGAGCGGGGGAAGCACAGACGAAGCACUGUUGCAGGAACCCAGGGUGUCCCAGGUGUGGGCGCUGGCGAGGGGUGGGAAGGGCGCGGCCUGUGGUCUGGGCGAGGCUCUGUGGUUUCAUCCGGGUGGAGAAGGCAGCGGCACAAACGCUGAUGACCAGUGGGAGCACCACACGGAAGAUGGGAUCGGGGGCUUCUUGGCCGUGGUGACUGGCAGUGCUUGAACCCGUAGGUCGAACGAAAGGAGGAAUCGGUGGACCAGACUCCGUGGGGCAGCGGCUGUCCAUGAAUACUUGUGGCGUGUAGGAAGAAAUCAGAGCUGUCGAUUUUGUUUCGUGUGUCCUCUUGAACUCGGAGAAAAACGGAAGAACCCCGAGAUGAACAUGGAAUUGCCAGUUAACGUGUCCCCAUCAGGUGCAGACUUUUCUCACUGUCGCAGACGGACCUACCCAUGGCCGGCUCUCACCUACCACCUCUCUCUUAGCUCCCUGCUUUUAUUCUACUACAUGUAUAUUCCCUGCUCUGGUCUUAAGUUACAAGCUCUUGGGCGUGGGAGCUUUUUCUCUUGCAAUACUCAUUGUGACGCUGGGCACAGAACACCAUGAUGACAGCUAUGUGCCCACCCACUCCUCUUGCCUGGCUGGACCCCAGAUCAUUGAGAUCCCAGUGCAGCCUGCUCUUGGAGCAUCUGACACACUGUCACCGCUGUGAGUGUCUAAUAAAUGCUGGGCACCCCAAGACGGGCAGCGACCUUC